rnacentral:lncRNA from 12 species
CAGCGUCCGGCAGGCCUUGGACGUGCGGCAGGAACAAAGUCAGGUGGGUGACAAGCCGGAGUCCUGUGAAGAAUGAGCCCAGAAGACGCAGUUCAGCAAGGGCACCUCCCAGGUAGUGGUGCAGGCAGCCCCGAGGACUGAAGUCCCCCGGGAGGCCAGGAUCAGGCUAGAUCUCCCCGAUGUCAAAUGAAGCAGACACGACGCACUCGCCGGAGUUGGACCUCGGCCCACUGCUUCUCAGUUGCCAACCAGCCAAGACAACACCUGCUUCUCAUUCUCUUCAGGGCAAGUGUGAAUUUUCCCCUUGUGCUUGCGCUUGAACCCUUCUCCCUGUUUGCUUUUUUUGACAUCUUCUAACCUCACUCUCGAAGGUGUCCGAGUGAGCCCCAACAUCUGCUCUUCACCGUCCAGGAUGGCCCUUGAGUUCUUGCAGCCAGUCUGGGAGGGUCCGGGGCGGCCGACUUUGCCUCUUGGGUUUUGGGUUCCUUUGUCUACAUUUGGCUGGCAUAAACACUUCUAAAAAAUGGUCUGCAGCUAAUGCCUUUUAGUUUGGUUCCCUUUAACGAGGGGUUUAUAAAACCACUCUUACUAUGCAGAACACAUGUUCUAAGUAUACAGUUACUUGACGGAUUGAAACAGU